rnacentral:rRNA from 1 species
UACGUAGGGUGCAAGCGUUGUCCGGAAUUAUUGGGCGUAAAGAGCUCGUAGGCGGUUUGUCGCGUCUGCUGUGAAAACUCGGGGCUUAACUCCGGGCCUGCAGUGGGUACGGGGCAGACUAGAGUGCGGUAGGGGAGACUGGAAUUCCUGGUGUAGCGGUGAAAUGCGCAGAUAUCAGGAGGAACACCGGUAGCGAAGGCGGGUCUCUGGGCCGUAACUGACGCUGAGGAGCGAAAGCGUGGGGGAGCGAACAGG